GAUGAACGCUGGCGGCGUGCCUAAUACAUGCAAGUCGAGCGAACGGACGAGAAGCUUGCUUCUCUGAUGUUAGCGGCGGACGGGUGAGUAACACGUGGAUAACCUACCUAUAAGACUGGGAUAACUUCGGGAAACCGGAGCUAAUACCGGAUGAUAUUUUGAACCGCAUGGUUCAAAAGUGAAAGACGGUCUUGCUGUCACUUAUAGAUGGAUCCGCGCUGCAUUAGCUAGUUGGUAAGGUAACGGCUUACCAAGGCAACGAUGCAUAGCCGACCUGAGAGGGUGAUCGGCCACACUGGAACUGAGACACGGUCCAGACUCCUACGGGAGGCAGCAGUAGGGAAUCUUGCGCAAUGGUCGAAAGCCUGACGGAGCAACGCCGCGUGUAUGAUGAAGGUCUUCGGAUCGUAAAACUCUUUUAGUAGGGAAGAACAUAUGUGUAAGAAACUGUGCACAUCUUGACGUUACCUAAUCAGAAAGCCCCGGCUAACUACGUG
rnacentral:rRNA from 1 species